UGGCGAACGGGUGAGUAUAGCAUCGGAACGUGCCAAGUAGUGGGGGAUAACCAAGCGAAAGUUUGGCUAAUACCGCGUAAGCUCUAAGGAGGAAAGUAGGGGACCGCAAGGCCUUACGCUAUUUGAUCGGCCGAUGUCGGAUUAGCUAGUUGGUGAGGUAAUGGCUCACCAAGGCGAUGAUCCGUAGCGGGUCUGAGAGGACGAUCCGCCACACUGGGACUGAGACACGGCCCAG
rnacentral:rRNA from 1 species